GCCAAGGAGAAGCCCGCCGACGACAAGGACAAGGACAAGGAAAAGGGCGGCGGCGGGUGCAAGGACGACAAGGCGGACAAGGACAAGGACAAGGAUAAGGGCUGCGGCGGGGGCAAGGACGACAAGGGCGGGAAGGACAAGGCGAAGAAGCCGCCGCCGCCGCUCCCCGUGGUCACCGCCGUGCUCAAGGUGGACAUGCACUGCGACGGCUGCGCGCACCGCAUCCGCGCCUCCGUUCGCCGCUUCCCAGGGGUGGAGGGCGUGGCCAUGGAGGUGGACAAGGGGUCCAUGACCGUCGUCGGCCGCUUCGACGCCAAGAAGCUGCGGGACCGCGUCGCCGCCAAGACCAGGAAGAAGGUCGAGCUCGUAGGCGGCAAGGACAACAAGGGCGGCGGGGACAAGGACAAGUGCGCUGACGGUGGCGGGGACAAGAACAAGUGCGCCGACGGCGAGGGCAAGAAGGAGGAGGAGAAGAAGGAGCAGGACGACAAGUGCGGCGGCGGCGGCAAUGCCGGGAAGGGGAAGGGCGGCAAGGACAACAAGAAACCCGCGGUGCCGGUGAUUGUGACGGUGGUGCUCAAGAUCGGCUCCGCCGGCCUCCACUGCGACGGCUGCAUGCACCGCAUCCGCUGCAAGCUCUUCAAGAUCAAAGGCGUGGAGCAGGUGAAGAUGGACCCGGGCAAGAACCAGGUGACGGUGACGGGCACCAUGGACGCCAAGGCCCUGCCGGAGAAGCUCCGCAAGAAGCUGCGCCGCCCGGUGGACGUGGUGCCGCCCGGCAAAGGGGACAACAAGGAGAAGGACAAGGACGGGUGCAACAAGGACGGGAAGCAGCAGCAGCAGCAGCAGCAGGGGGGCGACGGGAAGCAGUGCAAGGAGGCGGCGGAGAAGGCGCUGGCGGCGGAGCUGCAGCUGUGGAAGACGGCCUUCUACGACCAGCAGGCGAUGCAGGCCACCGAGUUCCUCCUCAGCGACGAGAACCCCAACGCCUGCGCCGUCAUGUGA
rnacentral:rRNA from 1 species